CGCGUCUCUACCUCUCGCUCUCUCUCUCUCUCUCUCUCUCUCUCUCUCUCUCUCCCACUCUUCUGCUUUCUCUCUCUCUCUCUCUCUCUCUCUCACUCUCUCUCUUGCUCUUGCACUCUUGCCUCCGUCUCUGUAGCUCUCUUUCUACCUUUCCCUCGCAUUCUCUUUUCUUUCCCUAUUGCUCAUUAUCUCUCUAAAUCUUCCUCUCUCUCUCUCUCUCUCUCUCUCUGAAUCUUUAUCUCCCUCAAUUUCCUCGGACUCCCUCUAAGCCAACGGGUGUUUUGGACAAGGUGGGCGGGAGGAGGUGUGGGGUUGAGGGGGGGCAGAGCAUAUUGGAGCGCAGGAGAACGGAGUGGGUUGCACAUCGAAGAGAGGAUUCUUUCGCUCUUGGAUUUUGGCGCUCAAAUCAGAGGGAGAAGAGUGAAAACUUGAGCUGCCCUGGACCCAUCAAGAACCACCGAGGCGAGACAGAUUCUGAAACCGAGGGAAAGAAGGAACAAGGAAGUCACAAGCGAGCCCUGCUGGGAGGCGGGUCCUCAGGCUAUGCGGGAGCGACACCGCAACCCCCCCCAGCCCCCCCCCCUCCCUGCCUCUAUCAUCAUCAGCAUCGUCAUCAUCAGUAUGCAGGGCCGGUCGGCCAGGUUACUGCUGGAGUCCGCAGUAACAGCUCGUCCGGAGAGCCAUAAAGCAGGUAAAGAAAAUACAUCAAGCCCCAUGCAGCGAGCCCUCCAGGGGAGAGGAACCCUCUGACCCUCCCCACCACUCACUCACACAGCGCUCAUACCCUCACCAAUACACAUGGAGAUAGAUGGUGUUUAUGCAUGGUUGGUUUAUGUUCUACUAUAGCCAUAGUUUAAUUUAUCAUCUAUUUAUUAUUACGUACUGGUUCUUUUCGUAACUUUUUUUAGGAUUGUUUAUAUUAUGAGGGUUUCAUUGUGUGUGUUUUCUUAAUGUGUUGUAUGUAUUAAAACUUAAUAAAAUCGUUUUGAUAUGGUGGAAUUACUUGUUGUGCGUUUUUCUGCCCGAUCGGUUAUCUUGUGGAAUUUUUUUGUGUGUUUAUAUCUAUGAACAUUGUGGUGUUUUAGAAUCAUAAUAGCAACCACUGUGUAUAUUACAUGAAUGUUUUUUCACUUAAACUUUAUCAUUAUCCGGGGUGUUUAUUACUAUUGAUAAUCGCAGCUGUUUUACCAAGCAAAAGGAUUAUUUAUUUUUAAAUAUUUCUGUUAUCCUGC
ensembl:lncRNA